UUGGGCUAUGAUUAAAUCAGUCAAGUUUGUUAGCUCCAUGUGGCCCAAUUAGCUUCACUUCCAACACGAGGCAUCACUUGGAUCUUUGUCUGAGAGUCAACAUUGAAGUUAGCCCCACACAUAAAUCCCUCGCUGUCAAUCCUAGGCAUUGCUUUCAUCUUCUUUGUUGGAUGUUCAAUGCUCAUGAGACCAUGCUCACUAUGAAACAUACACCCUGCAAUUCAACGCCAGUAAAGCUUUAAAUUCCAGACACAAGUUACCCUUUCAAAUGUAUUUACGUUUUUUAUUAGUCCACAUUUAAUUUUGCCAUUAUCUUAUAAUUGUCGAUCUGAUAUAUAAAAAUUAGUAAUUUGAAUGGUGGUUUAGAAUAUUCAAAGCUGCAAAUUUACAUACCAUUCGGAAAUGGUGCAAAUGAUUUAGCACAGCUUGCUUUUAUAAGCUCCAGAUUUUCAGAAAUAACUAUGGAACCAUCAGCUGCAACACCCCAGUAGAGCCCAAUCUGGCCAUUAGAACCCUGCUCAAACAAACAAAUUAAUAUUCAAUCCUAGAAAAAUUAAUAACACCAUGUAUACAUGGCCAAACCACACAUUUCUUUUGUAUAGAUCAAGAAAGAGACUUACAGAUGCAACAAAAACUGUUCCAUCCUUGUUGUCAUAGAUCACAAAUCCAAAACUGCCUUCAAGUUCUUUGAGGACUUGAUCAGCGGGGUAUGGACCCCUGUCACGAAGAGUUCGAUAUGCUUCAGUGAUAAACAUGGCCUCAUUUGUUCCCUUUGAUAGCCCAUACUGCUUGUUGAGCAUGCUAAGGUUGUGCAGGCCACCCAGGAAGACACAGUAUAUGUUAUCCAAACCACUAAACAACCUGUGACACAUUUUUCUUUUGUAUUAAUAAUUCAUAAAUCCGUUUCACAAACAAUAGAUUCAUUAACCUAUCAGCCAUGAAAUUUGAAAAGGGAAUAUACUGAUUACAACAAUAGAUUAAUUCAAUGCCAUUCAUAUCUCAAAGGCAAUUAAAUUAAGCAUACCUUUGAUGAAUGGAGGGCUUGUUUGAAGGGGAAUAGGCUAGCAAAGCUUCAUUCCCAAAGCACAUUGAGAAAGCAUUGGAGGAAUUGCAGGACAUGAAAUCCUGAAGGAUUUCGUGACUUAGCUUAGGCUUAGUGCAUGAAUUCAACGAAGCUGGACUGUUCAGCUCUUUGGGUGCUUUAACCAACUUCUCCUUGAAAAUUCCCAACAUUUUUGCCUCUAUCUAGGAAUU
rnacentral:lncRNA from 1 species